AUAUCUACCCUGUAGAAAGGCGCCAUCUUUGUUUUACAGCCUGUUCGCAGGCGUACAAGCCCAAAUUAGUCGACCAAAUAUUUAAUUGUAAAUUAACUUAAUUCCUGCAUAUUCCGUGAAAAUGUCUUGAUAUUCCGAGAAAUUCCGGCACAUUCUGCGAAAUUCCAGUAUAUUCCGUGAUAUUCUGGCAUUCCGUGUAUUCACAACGUCCAUAAAUUUAUUGUAUAAAAUAUUCUUUAUUAA